UAUUUUAAUAGCUUAUAAUUAAAGUAUAAUAUUGAAGAUAUUAGGAAAGUAAAUUUACUUUAAAAUAUAAAAAUAUAU
rnacentral:tRNA from 2 species